CUUUACUGUAGCUUUGCAUUGGACUUUGAACCGGUCUGUGUAGGAUAGGUGGGAGGCUUUGAAGCUGGGACGCUAGUUCCAGUGGAGCCGUCCUUGAAAUACCACCCUGGUUUGUUUGAGGUUCUAACCAUGGCCUGUGAAUCCAGGUCUGGGACCGUGCAUGGUAGGCAGUUUGACUGGGGCGGUCUCCUCCCAAAGAGUAACGGAGGAGUACGAAGGUACGCUAGGUACGGUCGGACAUCGUGCUGAUAGUGCAAUGGCAUAAGCGUGCUUGACUGCGAGACUCACACGUCGAGCAGGUACGAAAGUAGGUCAUAGUGAUCCGGUGGUUCUGAAUGGAAGGGCCAUCGCUCAACGGAUAAAAGGUA
rnacentral:rRNA from 1 species